rnacentral:rRNA from 1 species
UACGAAGGGGGCUAGCGUUGCUCGGAAUCACUGGGCGUAAAGGGUGCGUAGGCGGCUUUCUAAGUCAGGGGUGAAAUCCUGGAGCUCAACUCCAGAACUGCCUUUGAUACUGGAGAGCUUGAGUCCGGAAGAGGUGAGUGGAACUCCGGAGUGUAGAGGUGAAAUUCGUAGAUAUUCGGAAGAACACCAGUGGCGAAGGCGGGUUGGCUGGCUGACACUGACGCUGAACUGCGAAAGCUAGGGGAGCGAACGGG